rnacentral:lncRNA from 1 species
AAACAGUUAUCACAACUCUGUACAAACUGAUACGGUCCCUAGCGGGCAAAAGGGACUGGAAAUGAACGUCGCGGGGUUAUCAGCGCCGAUCUGUCAGCGGCAACUCGCGCGGCCGCAGGCUCGUCCGCUGCAGGAGCCGUGAUAUAUGUCUCGCUCCCUUUCGCUUACAGAAAGGAUUUCUUCCGACAGACGUGACCCCAGAAGGCUGCCGAGGGAGACUUUAGGACAAGAGGCGUUGUUUUUUUAGGGAAGGAAGAGGAGCCUGUGCAGAGUUGAACUGGGGUGGAGAGGUGCCUUGUAAAGUAUGGUUUCCAGAGAUGGUGAGACCUCGUAGCUAAGCGUUGUUUCCUCUGCACGUAACUGUGAGUUGUGAACUUGUGGCUCCUGGGGGAGCGGGACAGGGCCUGGCAGUGCGGGGGAGGGGGCAAGGAAUUCAGGAAGUUGGCGAGAAUUCUUCGUUUUUCAUUCUUCGUUGUAAAUUGCUUCUAAACACUUCUGAAUUUUAAAUUGCUACCGAGAAGGUCCAGAAACCGUUCUCAUCCAAUUUAGUCACUUUUAUUACGUUCCACUUUGCCUCCCCCAAUCACUGCGGCGGCUCCCAGUUUCAGCGUGGCCGCAUUUGGAAAAGGCUGAAGGUAGAAAACUCUGGAAUGGAGAGGCUGGCGACUGGAGCAGGAUCCAGGGGCUUUAAAUUUUAACCUGAAUGCGAUCGAAUGCGCGACUCCCAGAAGAGAUAGCCAGGCGUCCGCCCGGCCGCUCAACCCCCGCCAGGACUCGGAAUGCCUUGCUUUUGGUUCUUUUCUACAAGGAUGUCUGCGUGGAUAUCCCUGGACACUCGAUACCCCCCGGGGACCUGCUUUUCCCGCAGCUCCGCAGACGCGGCGGGAGGGCGCGCUGGCCCCGGCGCUGCUGGGACAGAGGUGAGCAGCGGGGUGGACAUUGACCGAUUCGACAACGUUCGGGCUCUAAGGGCUCGGGAAGGGACCCGGCAUUUUACCCUCCAGAUUCCCAAUCUAUUUUUAAAAAUAAUGUUCAAAACAUAUGGGAAAAAUAAGUGAUUGCUCCUUUUCAUGGUCACAGAUUGUAUUUAUUUUUUCAGACUGGUUUUCCAACCUAACGAGGGAAUGGGUAGUGAAUGUUGUUGUUGUUGUUGUUGUUUAUGUUGGUUAAUUUCGAAAUAAAACUGUUUAACUCGUACAGUUGAUUCAGACAGAAAA